CGGCGAUGUGAAGACGCUGGCGAGGGAAGCUCGGGCCACGUCGUCGUACUUAAGAUCCCUGCUUCUUUCUGAGAGGAAUCAAUUUUCAUUCUCUUUCUGCUGUGUGACGCCUGGGGACUGUGUGGUGUGGGGUGAGGGGUUGCCAGGGACGAAGGUUCUGACGCUACAGUCACUGCGAUGGCCCAGGGCGCAGCUGCCAGUGAAGGAUCCCAGAUUCUACCCAAAGGCCUGAAUACCAUCGUCUUCUGCCUGGAACUGAGUCAGUAAAAGGAAAUAGGAAGCCAAACAGCAGAAGGGCACACCCUGCUUACCAGAAACGCAUUACUAAAGAAGAAAUUCCGUGGUGUACCCUUUGGCUCCUGGCCCUUGGGUCCUGUCCUGCACCAUUGACAAGUUAAUAUGGUUCAACUACAUGAUGCCAAAUUGAAGAAGCCACUGAGGAAGCAACUCAGGAGCCCAUUUGCAUUAGCAGUUAAUAAUUCAGCCAAUGAGAGUUCAUGGCAGAGACCUGGGCCCUGGAAGAAGAUGGAGGAGCAAGUAUCAGGAGCCCAGACGGAGUGAGAAAAGUCAUAGGAGGAGGAGGCAAAGCCAGGCAAAAGCCAGAUCCUGGAAGUCACGGUUGGCUAGGCCAUCAAAUCAGAAGGUCAUAAGCAGUGGCCAGGCCCAGACGAGCUUGAGGAAUCUUGACCUUACACAAUAGUGGUAAAGAGUCAGCAGGUUCCAUGUGGGAGCCCACAAGUCCUGAGUCUGCAGUGAAGUGAACUUAUAUUAUCUGUUGGGGAGGAAAAUUCUCAAGUCUCUGUUCAAAUAGCCAGCAAUGUGACUUUAAAGAGUUUUAAGUGUAUUUAUGCCUGACAUAUUUCUGGAGUAAGCUUUGUUUCAUUUUGUUCCUGGGAAAUCUAAGUCCCCUCUUGCAGAGUUCAAUAAUUUGAAACUAAAAGUUUUAGAUGCAUUUUAAACAGCCACUUUCCCUCCCUACCCACUCAUUUACCAAAAUAAACAUGGCCACCCUGCCGCUGCGCUCUGAUUUGCAUAGCAGCCGAGCUGCUGCAGAUUCUCACACUGGGGCUAUUUCAGAGUUUGUGGAGAUGGCAAAGGGUUCCUUUCCUUAAAUAGUCUGGAGCAUGGUCCCCUUGGACGGCUGCUUUCGAAAACACUGUUACUGUAAAGUGAAAAUACUUGAGGAAAUAAAAUGCUAAUGAUAAAAGAAAAA
rnacentral:lncRNA from 1 species